rnacentral:lncRNA from 1 species
CUCUUUCAAUAAACACAUUAAAUUUUGAAUCAUCAAGAAUAAAAUAAAAACAUAAAAUCCAACACCGAACUCUAACACAUAUCAGGUGAGAUAAUACAUGUACAAAUUGGGGUGACGAUGAGGGAACUUUGGUGAAAAUAGAACAAAAAAAUUUCUUCCUUUCUAAGAGACGUUCAUGAAACAUAGACCACUCAUUUUGCACCUUGCUCUUAACCCCUUCCAAGGAGCUCUCCCAUCCUCUUGCUUGCCCUGGUUCCCAAGAGAAGGAAUUACCGGAUGAGUACGCCAUUGUGAAUCUACCACACCAAUUUUUUUCAUUUGCAG